rnacentral:tRNA from 1 species
GUGAGCGUAGCUCAAUUGGUUAGAGCACAGGACUGUGGCUCCUGGGGUUGGGAGUUCGAUCCUCCUCGCUCACCCCG